rnacentral:rRNA from 1 species
CACCGCGGUUAUACGAGAGGCCCAAGUUGAUAGCAUUCGGCGUAAAGGGUGGUUAAAUUAGACUUAGACUAAAGCCGAACCCUCUCAAAGCUGUUAUACGCACUCGAGAGAAAGAAGCCCCCACGAAAGUAGCUUUAAUAACUUUGACCCCACGAAAGCUGUGAAA